CUAGCGUUGUCCGGAUUUAUUGGGCGUAAAGAGCGUGUAGGCGGCCAGAUAGGUCUGCUGUGAAAACUCGAGGCUCAACCUCGAGAUGUCGGCGGAAACCAUUUGGCUAGAGUCCGGAAGAGGAAAGUGGAAUUCCUGGUGUAGCGGUGAAAUGCGCAGAUAUCAGGAGGAACACCGGUAGCGAAGGCGGGUCUCUGGGCCGAAACUGACGCUGAGGAGCGAAAGCGUGGGGAGCAAACAGG
rnacentral:rRNA from 1 species